rnacentral:rRNA from 1 species
UACGGGGGGAGCAAGCGUUGUUCGGAUUUACUGGGCGUAAAGGGCGCGUAGGCGGCGCAACAAGUCACUUGUGAAAUCUCCGGGCUUAACCCGGAGCGGCCAAGUGAUACUGUCGUGCUAGAGUGCGGAAGGGGCUACUGGAAUUCUCGGUGUAGCGGUGAAAUGCGUAGAUAUCGAGAGGAACACCUGCGGCGAAGGCGGGUAGCUGGGCCGACACUGACGCGGAGGCGCGAAAGCCAGGGGAGCGAACGUG